GAACUGUCUGCUAUUUGGAACACAGUUAAGUGAGUUUUCAAAUAGGAACUCUGGCAGACAAACCCAGGUCUUCUGAGCCAGAAUUUAGUGCUUUAACCACAAGAUCAUGCUUCCUAUCUGAAGCUAAGAGUCACGUCUGACUGCUAAGUGUGGGUGCAGAACCCUCUUGCUUCCCCAGGACCCCACCAGGACGGACUUGCUGUGGAAAGCGCAUGGAGGGGCAGAGGAUGCUGAAUGCUCCAAAGAAGACUUGAUUUUGCUGUCCCAAACUCCCCAUGGCUUGAAGCAUAUGUUAAAGGAUUUUAGCUCUCUUAGUCAGCAAGAGUUCCUGACCCUAAAUGAUCAGAAAACUGAAGUAAUUUCCUUUGGCCACAGACCAAGGCUGCAUAAGUGGAUGAUUGAUGGACAUUAUAUUGAACAGGUCAGGUUUUUCCCUAUCUGGGAACUUGUUUUAUAUAUAAUGGUCAAUGGAAUAAAUAUAGAGAGCAAGUGAAGAGGAGCCCUGUAAGUUUCAUUUCACGUGGGUCCAUGGAGGCAGUUUGAUUGCACCAGCUCUGAGCUAACAUCUGUGCCCAGUUAUUAUACAGUGUGGAAACUUGGGGCUGGAAAGAUCUUAUGGUGUUAGAGGUUGUGCAAAAUAAAUGUUUAAGGCGUGUGCUUGACUUCCCAAAUUAUAGCCCAGCUGCUUUACUUAUGGCAGAUAUAGGGGACUACAUUGCUAUUUCGACUAAAACUCAAUGCCUUUACUUUAUUGACUAUGUGUUCAGCAUAUAAAUCUACAACACAUUCCAAGGCUAUGUCUGGAGGAACAGCUUAACAAGACACAUGCCUGGCUUUUGCAAGUUCUCCUGGCUUUUGGAAGUCUGUUGUUCAGUCCAUUCCUUCGUUUUCUCAGAACUUGACCUGGAAGGAUCACAGGCAAGAGUGUGAAAUCUUUAAUCAAGCUUAAAACAGAAGAUACGUGCUAACAACUGGGAAUGGCAGUUGUCCAUAAAACAAAUAUAUCUGCUUGGCUUUCUCAUUUGAAGAAUAUCCAUAGUUAUGAGAAAUAUUUGGGUAUUUUGAACCAUAUGUUAGGGAGGGCUUUUAUGGCUCUGUUUUCAAACUAUGCAGAUGGCCUCUGUGGACAGGAGGUAUGCUGGUCUCAAGAGACAUCAUCGGCUUUGUCCAUGCAGUUCUAGUAAGAUUGAAGACCUACCACACUGUCUACUUUCUUGUAACCUGUAUGGUCACCAGGCUCACAUGCUUCUUUCCACUCUGGCUUAAAAACUAGAAUACUUACUGCGUAAGAGAAAUAGUUUUACUAU